rnacentral:rRNA from 1 species
AUUGAACGCUGGCGGCAUGCCUUACACAUGCAAGUCGAACGGUAACAGGGAGCUUGCUCCGCUGACGAGUGGCGAACGGGUGAGUAAUGUAUCGGAACGUACCUCUUAGUGGGGGAUAACGUAGCGAAAGUUACGCUAAUACCGUAUAUUCUCUGAGGAGGAAAGCAGGGGACCUUCGGUCCUUGCGCUAAUAGAGCGGCUGAUAUCAGAUUAGCUAGUUGGUGGGGUAAAGGCUCACCAAGGCGACGAUCUGUAGCGGGUCUGAGAGGAGGGUCCGCCACACUGGAACUGAGACACGGUCCAGACUCCUACGGGAGGCAGCAGUGGGGAAUUUUGGACAAUGGGGGCAACCCUGAUCCAGCCAUGCCGCGUGGGUGAAGAAGGCCUUCGGGUUGUAAAGCUCUUUCGGUCGGGAAAAAAUCGCAUGGGUUAAUACCCUGUGUGGAUGAUGGUACCGGAAUAAGAAGCACCGGCUAACUACGUGCCAGCAGCCGCAGUAA